GAGGCACCGUAUUUAAACUCCAGUACUGAACAAUACAACGUGGCAUCUCCCAGUGAGCUACCUGUUCUUGCAGCAGCGGACGUAAGCUAAGGUUUGGAUCACAGCUGACGUACCCUAAGGUUUGGAUCACACGAGAAAGCGAUUUGUUCUGUCAGAAAGCUUCUCCUCACCUCAUCAUCCUCGAGCAGCCAGUCACCUAGUGCACAGCUCAGCUGGGGGCUGCGGAGAGAAAGGAGCUGGUGGCUAGCGGGCUGAGGUUCGUGAAGAGAUGGGGGGAGUUUGCAGUGGCUGCAUAUUAAAGGUUUCACUUACAGGAUGGAGAAAAAGGUUCCCUCCCCCAAGCGUCCCCCAAGAAAAUAGCAUUGGGUACAGUAAUUCAUCCCAACAUGAACGAAUCAGUUUACCUGUGACUACCUAUUUCAGCUAUGAAACACUUACGGAAAUUGGCAUCAUCAAACUGUCACUCAACACCAGCUCCUAAACUUGAUUUCAGUGCUUGUCAAACUACAGUGGUUGCUUAUUUACAGCUUUUCUAAAGGUUCUUGGUUUAGCUAAGUCACCAACAGAAGUGACAAGUUCUGUCUUUUUAACACUUGACACAAACAAAGAUGAAAACUAUGUGCACGGCGCCCAAUUUGGCCUUUCCGAGGUGGAACGGGUGCGGAAUACAUAGGUUCCCUCGCAGUCUUUUCAGUCACACAACUGUAAAUAUCGGUGUAAAAAAACCACACAGAAUACACGGACUGGCUUGAAUGAAGUUGUUACAGACAGGACAUUUGGGCGUGGGAGAUGAACGGGCAUUUCUGGAAGAGCUGUGGGUUGACCGCGGAAAAAGAAAACACAAGCAGGAAAAGGCAUUAGAAUGCCUGGGAGUGCACCAGUCAGAGAAGGAGAGAGAAGCUCUCACAUAAACUUCAGCUGACCUCCCCCACAAAGACCUUGGCCAAUUUCAGUAUGCACUGUAAUUUAGUAAAGACAAACAGAGUGAAACGGGCAUUUAAUCCGAUUACAACCAAGUCGAAUCCCUUCACUGUAAAACAACUCCAGCCGCAAAAGAAAAAUGGAACAAAAAUGUCUGCUGCACUGUCCCCGUGUUCCUGCGGAUGGGCAAUAUGGAGCUGUAAAGUAUCACCCCCUUUUAUUGAGUCAAUACCAUAAGGUUGGAAAUUGGAUGCCAUUUUGAAUGUAUCAACCAGUUUUCAUCACCAACAUGUUAGGAAUUUUCGAGCAUUUCAUAAGCAAUGUCCACAAGGAAGUUUGUUGGUUUUUCAUACAAGUCAUUCUUUGACAAGAUCGCAGGAAAUUAUUAGGCCUUGUAUACAGGGAGGA